UUGGGUAGUCCCGCACGAGCGCACCCUCAUUUUUAGUUGCCUUUAUGGAACUCUAAAAAGACUGCCGGUUAUAAACCGGAGGAAGGCGGGGAUGACGUCAAGUCAGCAUGCCCCUUACACCCUGGGCUACACACGUGCUACAAUGGGCGAGACAAUGAGAUGCAACUCUGUGAAGACCAGCUAAUCUAGAAACUCGUUCUAAGUUCGGAUUGUAGGCUGCAACUCGCCUGCAUGAAGUUGGAAUCGCUAGUAAUCGCUGGUCAGCUAUACAGCGGUGAAUUCGUUCCCGGGCCUUGUACACACCGCCCGUCACACCAUGGAAGCUGGUUAUGCCCGAAGUCGUUACUCUAACCUUUUUGGAGGAGGACGCCUAAGGUAGAAUUAGUGACUAGGGUGAAGUCGUAACAAGGUAACCAAGGGC
rnacentral:rRNA from 1 species